GAUGAAGAACGUAGCGAAAUGCGAUAAGUAAUGUAAAUUGCAGAAUUCAGUGAAUCAUCGAAUCUUUGAACGCACAUUGCGCCCGCCAGUAUUCUGGCGGGCAUGCCUGUUCGAGCGUCAUUACAACCCUCAGGCCCCCGGGCCUGGCGUUGGGGAUCGGCGGAGCCCCCCGUGGGCACACGCCGUCCCCCAAAUGCAGUGGCGGUCCCGCCGCAGCUUCCAUCGCGUAGUAGCUAACACCUCGCGACUGGAGAGCGGCGCGGCCACGCCGUAAAACACCCAACUCUUCUGAAGUUGACCUCGAAUCAGGUAGGAAUACCCGCUGAACUUAAGCAUAUCAAUAAGCGGAGGA
rnacentral:misc_RNA from 1 species